rnacentral:rRNA from 1 species
UGGGGAAUAUUGGACAAUGGGCGAAAGCCUGAUCCAGCCAUGCCGCGUGUGUGAAGAAGGUCUUCGGAUUGUAAAGCACUUUAAGUUGGGAGGAAGGGCAGUUACCUAAUACGUGAUUGUUUUGACGUUACCGACAGAAUAAGCACCGGCUAACUCUGUGCCAGCAGCCGCGGUAAUACAGAGGGUGCAAGCGUUAAUCGGAAUUACCGGGCGUAAAGCGCGCGUAGGUGGUUUGUUAAGUUGGAUGUGAAAUCCCCGGGCUCAACCUGGGAACUGCAUUCAAAACUGACUGACUAGAGUAUGGUAGAGGGUGGUGGAAUUUCCUGUGUAGCGGUGAAAUGCGUAGAUAUAGGAAGGAACACCAGUGGCGAAGGCGACCACCUGGACUAAUACUGACACUGAGGUGCGAAAGCGUGGGGAGCAAACA